CCACUGCGGCUACCUUCAUGGCCCCGGGAACAAAUGAUUUUCCUCCAGCCCAUUGCACCAGGAAAAGUCUUCGAUAUUUGUGGUGGGUGGCCCUCAAACUCACCAACAUGUCCGAGAGCCUUCCUGAGCCCCAACUGUGCCCAUGUGCCCGCCCCUGCACGGGCUCCAGCGUCUUGGAGCUGAAGGUGGACGUCGUAAGCAGCUGAGCAGCCGCCCUCCCAGGAGGACUAGUCUGCCCCGACCACCCCCACCACAAGAAAUCAUACUACAGAAUGGCAUAAUGCAGAAGUACAUAAUAAUAAUGCCUCAAGUUAUACAAUAUUAUAGGAAAUAUAUAAUUAAGUAUAAAAUAUUUACAUAUAAAAAUCUCUUUUACAGAGGAGGAAGUGACUGACCCAGGAUCACCCUGCUGGCAAGUGUCUGAGGUGGGCUUUGAACUCCAGCCUUCCUGACUCCGGCCACUGUCCUGCCCCGGCUUGCACAGGGGAUAAGUAAUAGGCCAGUUACCCAUCCCCCAGCUCCUGGUUCCAUAGCACUCUUAGGCUUGCAAAACACUUCCUUCCUCCUCUUUCUGGGAGGGAAGUAGGGCCACUGUUAUUAGUCCUGUGUUUACAGAUGAGGGAACUGAUGGGAAGAAGCAGAAUGAUAACGGCCUCCGGUUCCUGUUUGGCAAGAGCUAUUCCAACUCAUGCUUUUGCGGUUCAGGCAGCUAGAGCUAAUGGUCUAGAUCUCGGGCCCUCCAGUUUAAUUAUCUUCAAGGUCUCUGAUGCAGGCGAAUGAAGAGGGAAAAGACAGAGGCGAGACCCCUCAAACGGAGCUGCUUCAGCCGGCCCCCUCCUCCCAUUUAUCACCGCAAUCCUUUGCUUCAACUCCCAACUUUGUUACAUGUCCAGCUUCAUACCUCUCAGUAUCACACCUUGACCGUAUCAAGGAAGGCAGCCAGGUAGUUUUUAAUGGAUAAAGUUAGAGAAAGUAGAGCAAGAAAUUAAGUGGAUUCGAAGUCAACAGGACCUGAGUUUGAAUCCUGCCCCGGGCAUUUACUCCCUGUGUCACUUCAUUAUCCUCAUCCUCAGUUUUCUCAUCUAUAAAAUGGGGAUAAAAAUCGCACCUACCCUCCAGGGUUGUGGCGUGUAAAACACUUUGUAAAUCUGAUGAUUAUUGCUAGUAGCAGAAGAGAUGCAUGUGCCGCCUUCACGACAGCUGAAUCACGAUUCCAUUCAGGGGUGACUCAUCCCCCAGAGACAAAGUGGAUCUGCAGUUGUGUGUGGUGCUGGUAAUGAGGCUCGAACAAUUUGGCCAUGAGAAGUUCCUUUGGGAAGCAAAGCCACCCACACGUUUCCUGCCUCCCACCCGCUGUUGCGCCAUAUUGGAUUGCAAGGGCUUGUUAACAGUCAAUAGUCAAUGACCAUUUAUGAUGUACCUACUAUGUGCAGGAUUAUGCUUGAGAACUUAGUUUCUUGGGGCAGAAUAUCACCAAUGAGGUCAACAUCAAGACUCUUACUGCGCUGCUUGGCUUAUCAUAGAAAGAGCCCCACUUUAUCUCCACCGGUAUUUAGCCCAUGGUCAGAAAGUAAUUUCCGGCUCCAAACAGGCCAGAUUAUAAAUGAGAGAGACCUGGACACACUCGUUGGAGAAAACACCGUGACCGCAUCUCAGCGGACAUUUGGUUUAUGGCGAGUCCCACCUUUAACUAGGAGGACCGGCAUCAGGAUGGCCCAGAGGGGUUGAGAAUGAUAUGAUUACAAAGGUUUUUAGGGAAAAGACUAAGCCACUGACCAUCUCUUUGGCUAUUCCCAAGUGUCCAGUCUUCCAGGAAGAUCCUGUAGCACGGGGGUUCCUGGCCAGCUCUCCACUCCAGCAUCCGGGACUUUUAAUGAUCUCUCUCCACCGUAGCCUUUGCCAGACCUUCAAGGAUUCACAAAAGAAAUAAAAAGCAAACUUUUAAAGGCCCAUUUAUGACAUAUCCUUGGAAGUAAUUAGCACAAUCUGAUCUUCAGAGCAAACUGGCAAAUGUCCACACGAUGAUUAAACUUAAUACCUCCUAACUGUGGCUUUCUGAGAGCUCUAGAUGUAGGGGGAGGAGGGGCUGUGCGCAAUGGAAGCUGCUCCAUGAUUUAGCAGGAGUAUUAUUUAUUUAUUCAGUUUACUGCAAAUUCUUCCUGUCUAGACAGAUUUCAGGAUCGCAGAGGCGAGUGUGGCACGGGGGAAGGGCUGGGCUUGUGGAAUAAGGAUGUUCUGGCCCAAUUCUCUCAGGGUCACACCCGAUACCCCUUCCCUCGAGGUUCUGGCUCAGUUCUUCUGCAGCAUCGGUCCCACCGAGCUCAUGCCCAAAUGGGGCAAGACCACGGGCAAGUCUUCCUGUGGUGUUGGAGUUCCUCAAGUCAUGCUUUGCUUUGGGGGGACAGUGACGUCCCUGCUGGGGAUCAGACCUAGCCUGGGUUUGGGUUUGUAGAUUUGGGGGUCGGAGGUUCCAAGCCCUUCACUUGGCAUGGGGAAAUAUGGAUACGAAAGCCAAAGCUCUCAGAGGGCUUCAGAGGGGGAGAAGGCCCUAAGGCUGCCCCACACGCUUCCCAUCUGCUGCCGUAAGCACCCCCAGACACUGUGAAGUGAAGAGAGGCAAAGGAGCGGCUAAAACCGACGGAGACCUUUCUGAAGAUACCCACAGUUGUGACUACGCAGCCGUCUGCUAAAUGUUCCUCCUGCCCAUAUGCUGGGCUGACCCAAACCAGGUGGAGAAGGUCCCCACAUGCUCCACAGUAGCUCGAAGUCAUUUCCUUCCCUCCUCAUGGCACUCUGGGGGCCUGAAGCAGGGUUUGUGCCUGCCCCAGACCCCCACUACCUGUGGCCAAAACAAUGGGUACAUGGAUGGAAAAAUAUAAAAUAUACGCCACGGAAGUGAGGAAGCAGGAGGGGAUGGGAGCCCUGGGUAGGGAGCAGCAGCCAGGCCAGAGUCUCCCCUCCCCUGGCAGCAGAGGGGAAGCUUGAGCAUGGGGUUCUCCUGCUUUCUCCGGUCUUUUUCUCAGGGGAAGGAGCCUGGAGAUAGAGGUUAGACCUUGACUUCCUGGGCUUUGAAAGUGUGAGCCCCCAGAAGCCCAGGGUGCCACAGUUUGCCACCAGGGCAGCUCUGAAAGGCGACUGGUGGGACCAGGGAGCAGACAUUCAAGCGGCCAGCCAGGGAGCGGCUUCACCCGCCUGCUCUGCAGGAUUUGGGGUGGACUUUGUGGGUCAUGCUUCUGGGCCUGAGGGGAGAAUGCGUCUCCGAGUGGUACAGAAGCCAGCGACCCCCAACCCAGCCCUUCUGUCAUUGCCCUCUCUCUUCAGUCAAUAUCUUUUUGUAAAGACUAAUAGAAGUUAAUGGGUUAAAUGUUAAUCACUGGUAUUAAUGGACUACUAUUAA